CCGGGCCCUCUGAUACGGGGCGGAUGCGGCCGGCGGACGGAGCGGAGCUGGGCGUUAUUCCAGGCCAGCCGGCCCGCGGCCCGCGUACCGGGCCCACUCCCACCCCGCUUCGGGCCUCAGUUCUCUCCCCUGUGAACGCUCCCGAGCUCUCUACUAUUGGCCCACACCCGGGCCUGAAUCUGCAGGAACUCCAGGGCCCUCGCAACCCGACGUGCCAGGUCGUGGGCCAGCGUCUGGUCCCAGUGUUCCCGGACUGUUUACUAGGCUGGCAGUGAAAACUGGAAGGAAGCACAGCCUGGCCCCUUUGCGGGAACCCGGAGGAGGCACUGAACCAGGACGUCUGGGAGGGCCCCCUGGAGGAAGCGACCUCGGAGCUGGGAACUGAAAGGACUAGAAGGAAGGAGAGAGUUCUCAGAAGAGGUAGCCUGGGUGGGGAGAGAGAGGCUGGCAUGCCCAGGAGACUGCAGGCUACCCUUUGUGCGAGGAGCAGAGGAAGAAGGUGGACGGUUGAAGGGCUCCACACAGACCAGCACAGGUGCAUGCCAGGCCCUGAGAGGGGCUGUAGAUCAGAACCCGGAGUGAAAAGCCGGUGGUGGAUUCCUUGACUUCAGCUUCCAGAACUGCACUUGGACAUGGAUUUGGCAAUAGAAAGCCUAGCUUGUCCCUCCUGUUCUGAGAGUACCCAGAUCAGGUCAUGGCCAUCACGGGUGGUCCCUGGACACCCUCAGGCAAUGAGGAUGUCACUCCAAAAGCCUGGGAUGGACAGUUUAGUAGGAGGGGGUCUUCUCCCCCGAAGAUUGAGUCAUGUAUGGAAAUUAGGCAGAUCAAAGCCAGAGCAUUAAUUGUUUUGUGUUGAGUUUACAAACAAUCUCUGUUGUUUGAUACUCAUGUAAUUGUAAAGGAAUUUGGUAUGGUAGGGUAUCCAAUAAGUCUGAUUCUGUGUGAAACAUGUUGAGUUUGAAACAUUGAUUUUGAUAGUGAUUCUAAGUUGGAAGGUACAAGACUUUAGUUUGUGAUCAUAAUUGGAAUAGUAAAGGAAAUUUACAAAUUUAAGAUAAAUGAGACCUUAAUGUA